CUCCUCUGUGAGCUCCCUACCUGCCGACCUGAGGAAGUGGAACGUUAGCUUGACCACGGAGGGAGGGGCGUAAUGUUUCAAGGAAGAAGGAGAGCAAGCAGAUGAGGAGAAUCCGGUACCCGAAGAGUAUCGGUACUGACAUGAGGAAACAUUGCAGCCAAUUAAGAUGCUAUAUAGAAGUUUUUGAUAACAUGCGGAAAUGUAUCCAAUGAACCUGAUGGAAGGCAAGAGAAAGGAUGAGGAAAAUAAGCAACUUUCCUUUAAAAAAAAUUAUUCAUUUUUAGCUGUGCUGGGUCUUCAUUGCUGCACACAGGCUUUCUCUAGUGGUGAGUGGGGCUUCUCUCCAGUUGUGGUGCAAGGGCCUCUCAUUGCUCUAGGGUUGUGGAG
ensembl:lncRNA